GGGUCAGCUGUCCUGACUGUGUCCCUUCCCAACAUCUUGCCCUUCUCCCCAGCCUGCUGGUGAGGGGGAAUGUUGGAGGCACAAGAUUGAUGCCAUGAAAUUAAACAAGAAAUUAAAUAAACCAAAGACAAUAUAUCACAAAACAAGUAACUUGAGAAGUGCUAUUUAAGCCAGAAGUUAUAUUCCACAGGAUACCACCUGACAAAUCAAAUGUUUUGAACCUUGCAAGCCUGACGUCAAACAUCCAGAGUUCAGAAGAACAUUUAAGCGUGCAUUAAAUAAGAGAAUGAAAGACUGCAAUGAAAAGGCAAAUAGUUUCACUUAACAACUGGCAGCAAUUCAGUGGACAAAAAGAAAAGGAUAUAUCAUGGAAACCUUUUGUAUGGCUAAAUCAAAUUGUUUAAUUGCAAGCAAUAUUAAACCCAUUGUUAAGAUAAAUAUUAACCAUGGACAAAAGCAAAUAUCAGGGAAGACAAGAAUAAAAUGUGGAUACCUUUCCCCCAGCUGUUCUUUAGACUGUUAGAAGCUUGACUCUGCCAUGUUCAUUCUGGAUGUUGCACCUUUGUUCAUGAAACAUCUUUCCACUCUUUCAUCAGGUCUGGGGCUGUAAUGCUGUUGUCCUGUGGUGGCACCUGAAAAGAACAUGUAAAGAAGAAACAGUGAAUAUAUGAA